UCCUUUAAUACCAAGAAAUCGGAAAAAUCGCAGGGCUUGUCAAUUUUGGAAGUGGUUGUGUGGAAUACCCUGUUUCAAUUUCUCGUGGGUCUGUUGUAGCUGUCGUUCAACAAGCUGUCGUUUCUAGCGCUGCUGUCCUGUUGUGGCUGCAGCUGCGACUGCGACUAUAAUCCAUGUAAAUGUUGUUCAUGCUUCAGAGGAUGAGGACAGAGAGGCAUUGCAGUAUAUUAUCAACAACAUUAAACUAAAUGAAGGCUAUUUAACCCUUGCUCGGGAUAUUGAGGUCAUGGAUCCCAAGUCUCUAUAAGAUUUCUGUAAGGAAAGCUCUGGCUUUGGAGGUUGAUUAUAACAAGCAGUGCAACUUGGCACUUUUCUUGAUGCAUAUGAAGAGAAUACCUGAAUCAAAGUCUCUACUUCAGGACAUUAGUGUUUUGUAUGGCAGAGAAGUGAUGGAUGAAUCCUUUGCUAAAAAAAUUUAUCGUGUUGUUGAAAUGCUCAAUGAAUUCGAGGAACGCCCUCUGUUGAAACCAAUCCAAGACGACAAAGAGAACCUUGAUAAUAGCUGGAGGAAAGGUCUGAUUUUUCGGGCAAAAUUUCUGCUUUUCCUGCAGUUGUUCAGUAUACACGACCGAGAAGAGAUUCUGAGAGUUUGUAAUUGUUUUAAAGGUAUAGCGUUACCGUUCGUUUUAGGAUUUGGAAAAUGGUGUAGGAUUUGGAAAAUGGUGUAGAUGGCUUCUUGGAGUUAAUGCAUCACCUCCUGUUCUUGGAGUUAAUGCAUCACCUCCUGUUCUUGGAGUUAAUGCAUCACCUCCUGUUCUUGGAGUUAAUGCAGCAGACUGCUAUUGGAUUGAUGGCUCAAUGUAAUGAAAAGGCUUUUGAACUUGAGGUGAGUUUAUAUGGCUCUGAAUGCUGCUUGUAACCAAAAUG